AGAACGAACGCUGGCGGCAUGCCUAAUACAUGCAAGUCGAACGAACACUUCGGUGUUAGUGGCGCACGGGUGCGUAACGCGUGGGAAUCUGCCCUUGGGUUCGGAAUAACAGUUGGAAACGACUGCUAAUACCGGAUGAUGACGAAAGUCCAAAGAUUUAUCGCCCAGGGAUGAGCCCGCGUAGGAUUAGCUAGUUGGUGAGGUAAAGGCUCACCAAGGCGACGAUCCUUAGCUGGUCUGAGAGGAUGAUCAGCCACACUGGGACUGAGACACGGCCCAGACUCCUACGGAGCAGCAGUAGGGAAUAUUGGACAAUGGGCGCAAGCUGAUCAGCAAUCGCCGCGUGAGUGAUGAAGGCCUUAGGGUGACAAAGUCUCUUUUACCCGAGAUGAAUAAUGGACAGUAUCGGGAGAAUAA
rnacentral:rRNA from 1 species